CCGGGUCCAUUUUGAGGGCGUACAGGAAGAGUUUGUGAGCCUUCUCCCGCUUCCCUUGGCGCUUCAUCUCCAGGGCUUGAUUCAGAGCUGCUCUGGCUUCCAACUUCACCUCUGGAAUGAAAUGGUAACAGUUGCCUCCACAGAAGUUACUAGUACUGAAAACACAAGGAAAAACUCUGGAGAGACGCAGCAAUGCCAGCACAGGGCCCUGGAAUGCAGUCGAGGAGCUGCACCAGCAGCUCCAGCCCCUUGGAGGUGACGCUCAGCUCCGUGCUCUGUCCCGUGAGCCUGCUGAUUCCCGAGGAGCCCAGUUUAUUCCUCAGCAGGGACAGGCCCUUGAGCACGGCGUGGCACUGGUUGUCC